GGAAGACGAAUCAUACUUAUUCACUGGUCUCCGUUUUGGAUACAAAUAUUUCUUUGGGGUGUCGGUUAUCAACGAGGCCAAGUCCACGCGCACAUCUCUGGAGGCUUAUAUUGAGCAGGAAUCACCAGAUUGCUAUCUGGAAACUGAAGACAGAGAGUUCUGCCGGACACAAAG